UACGGGGGGGGUAAGCGUUGUUCGGAAUUACUGGGCGUAAAGGGCUCGUAGGCGGCCAACUAAGUCAGACGUGAAAUCCCUCAGCUUAACUGGGGAACUGCGUCUGAUACUGGAUGGCUUGGAUUCGGGAGAGGAAUGCGGAAUUCCAGGUGUAGCGGUGAAAUGCGUAGAUAUCUGGAGGAACACCGGUGGCGAAGGCGGCAUUCUGGACCGAUAUUGACGCUGAGGAGCGAAAGCCAGGGGAGCAACCGGG
rnacentral:rRNA from 1 species